rnacentral:rRNA from 1 species
GUGGUGUCCACAUAGUACCACAUAUUUACAAAGCAAACUGCCACUGAUAUACAGUACUAGUGCAAUACAGUGCCAUUAGUAUAGGCAUAAUUAGUACCCCCUCCAAUCAUUCAGUAUAGAGCAAACAUAGUACAGGAAAUUGCCUACUCUAAAAAAUCUCUAGAUUCAACAUUUAUCUACAACUUAGAUUAUCAAAGCUGAACCCAAAGGAUGAUUCUGGCUACCAAGAUGUAAUGGAGAGCGACGAAUCUGCAUCAAUGAGGUGUCUGAAGUCUGAACCUUUCAUCUACCUAGAAGCCUAGAAGGGAUGGCAUGCGAUGAGGUGUCUGAAGUCUGAACCUUGCUCCAUAUAUAUCAUUCAGUUAUCAAGUUGCUGCAGCCUGAAUCUGCAUCAAUCCUCACCGCCUACUACUCCGGCAUCCACCGGUCCCAUCUCCCAUAGGCUGCGUCGCAGCAGAGGGGGCGAGGCAGAUGAGCGUGAGGGGGAGCAGAGAAGAUGUACAAUGAAGUCGCUGCCGAAGGUCUCAUCCGCCGUCCCAAGCUGCGCCCGCCGUCAAAGCCGACGUCACCGCCGCCGGAGCUGAAGACAGUAUCGUCAGGAUUGCAGAGAUAGUACCCCCUCAAGACCCGGCUCGGUCCCCGGCGCUUCCCGACGACGGCCUCUUCGAGAAACAUGGCGGUGACGGCGGUGAGAUGGAAGGAAGGGAUGGACUGGGGAGGCGUGCCGGUGGAGGCAGCGGCGACGGCGCCUAGGGCAUGUCGAACGCGGCGUUUUCUUCUUUGUUUUUUUGCUGAGGAAAACGUGAUGGCUGGGUGCGCGUGGAGUGUUGU